rnacentral:rRNA from 1 species
GGACUACCGGGGUUUCUAAUCCCGUUCGCUCCCCUAGCUUUCGCACCUGAGCGUCAGGUACCACCCAGGACACUGCCUUCGCCUUUGGUGUUCCUCCGGAUAUCUACGCAUUUCACCACUACACCCGGAAUUCCGUGUCCCUCUGUGGCCCUCAAGUCCUGCAGUCUUCAAGGCGCUCUCCCAGUUGAGCCGGGAGCUGUAACCCCAAACUUACACGACCGCCUGCGUGCCCUUUACGCCCAGUAACUCCGGAUAACGCUCGCCCCCUACGUAUUACCGCGGCUGCUGGCAC